AGCAAAUUUGCUUUCGCUGCCCUUCCUAGUCUCUACCAAAUCCUUACACAGCGAGGGCACAGGAUCGAAAAUUCCUCGGCGGCGGGGGCGGCGGGGGCUCAGAUCCUGAGCCAAGCCGGGCGGGCUCGCGCAGCAAAGAUGCUGAUCUCCUCUCCAAUGGCUCCUAACCGUUUCGUCGCCGGUGGCGCAGUUUGAGGUAGAUUAGAUCGGAUUCCUUACCUCCUCCCCACUCUCAGGCUCCUAGAUCAGCUCGCGGCCGUCCUCCUCCACCCCCACCCCCACUCCCUCUCGUGAUUCAGCACUAGCUCUCGGAGGUCGUGGAUCCUCGCCUCCUUCCCGGCCGGCUGCUUCUGGUUCUCCGAACAGGCCACCCCACCACGGUUCUUCAUUCUUCAGAAGUUUGACAUGGAAAAGAUGAUCCCCGGUCUAAAUUUGCAAUUCCCAUCUCAGGAUCCAGGAAUGGAGAGUAGCAGUGCAAUGUCUCCCCUAGGAGGGCCCUCAAUUGCAGCAUGUGCACCAGCACUAUAAGGUGACAAUAGUGCCAUGGAAUCGGUCAACAGUGUUCAAAAUCAAGAUUUCUGCGAUGCAACGUCAUUUGCAGAAAUUAAUUCCCCAAUGCUUCUCAUUGAUGAAUCCAGUACACCGAAAAAAAGAAUCAUUCUCUCAAGAGGGUUCUUUGUAUAAACCCCAGUGUGACGAGGAAUUGAAGCUAAAAGUAGGGAUGAUAUUUGAUGACAUUGGCUCGGUGCUGGAAUUUUACAAGUCAUAUGCACACAAUGUCGGAUUUGGUGUACGUCUUGGACAACAGAGGGUCGUAGAUAAUGUGCUUCAAUGGAAACGCUUCCUGUGUGCAAAAGAAGGCUUUCUCCCGAGAAAGGUAGAUCGAGCUGAUCAAGUGUAGAAGAGCCCAUGGAGGUUGUCAUCUCUU